AUCGUUCUGUUCCUAAUAAUAAUUGCCACGAGAGAGAGCGCGAGGGAAGCGAGUACGGUCGCCGUCUUCAAUCCCUAGUCUCUUGAUCUGGAGAACACCAGCUCCAAGUGAAUCCCCUUCGAUUUCUCGAUCGCAGGGACUGGGAGAGCGAGAGAAGAGGUGAGACGAACCUCGAAGAGGAGCUGGAGGAUAGGAUUGGAUUGGAUUUGGUGUUAGUUUCUUUGCGUUGUCUGCAUCGGGAAGGGAGGAGGGUUGAGAUUUCAUGUGUGGCGAAGGGCGGUUGACAGAAGAGAGUGAGCACGCAUCGGGUUGAAAUGGCACAAGACGGUGCUGUUUCCGCUGCGUGCUUACUGCUCUUCCUGUCAGUCAGCGUUUGUUGUACUUUUCUUCCGGCGAGAGCGAGGCUUGGAGACCCGUGCCUUUCCCCUCCGCCCUUUGUCCAUGACUGGUCUCUUGUCGGAGUUUCCAUCCAUUGAUCUUAAUGUUGGCUCGUCGGAUAUGUUUGAGGAAGACUGGUGGAUGGUUGAUGGUUUUCGAGGAAAGAGCGUGACUUUUGAGAAGGCGAGAGAGUACAGCCUGCCCCUAUUCGGAUCGCGUUGAAGUGGAUGAGCGAGAGAGCAAGGAACCAGAAAGAGUACAUGCGCUAGGCCUUUCACUCAGCAGAUCGACUGUUCGGCCAUUACGGAAGCCAUUGUCUGCCAGUUUUACCUUCCUUCUUGUUCCCCUCUUCUAUUUUAUCGUCUUUGUUUAGUUUUUCUUUGUUCCUCCUUUGUUUUUUGCUGGUCUUGACUGGGGUUUGGUGGUAAGCUAAUGGGAAUGGAGAAUAGGUGCUCUCGAAUAUUCAUCUCUGCAGUAGCUUCGCCAGGUUGCAGAAAAGUUCAGUUUUGGUUACACAUUAUGAAUUGUUGGAGAAAGAAUUAGUUUUGAUGAUACUCCAUGAACCGUACUUCUUCAUUCAGGGUUUGGUAAUUAUCGGCCACAUUCACUAUCUUCAUAUUUUUCAUUCCACGUGCCUUGGUUGACUAGAUGAACUAAUUGAGCGAAAGGGAGCGAUCUUUCAUGACCUUUCCAUAUCAAGAUGUCAGGUUCUUUUAAUCUUCACCUAAGCGUUCGUUUCUUGCCUCCACUUGGAGGUGGUACCAUGGCUGCAGUAGCUUAUUCCAUGACGAUCCCUCCUGGGUUUACUAUCCUUAUGGCUCAAAAUCUUGUUGCUUGACUUUGUGGAACUCAUAACUUUACUAGUUUAUAGUUGGUUCCUCCUGGUUGUCUCUCUUUCCUUUAUCUGGUAUGACACCGAGAAACAGACUGUUGCAAAAAAAACCCCACAAGUUGUUUUGGAAGAUGAUAUUUUUCGUUUUAUUGCAGUCCACCUUUGGUGGUCCAGCCACUCAUUUGUUUCUCUGUCGUUUGUGGUUGAAGGAAUGGUUCGGUGCCUGACCAUGGAAGACGACAUUUUUAUUAUUUUCUUUACCCACUGAGGUUGGAGGCAUGAAUCUAUGCAGAACAAGUUUUAUCGGCCAGAACAUAUAAAGCCAAUUGAUCUUGGUUAAAUGAUGGUCCGCACAGUUUAGGCUAGCCAGCAUUAUUGUCUUGGCAUGGACUUUGGCAUACUCGACACAUGCAAUCCUUAAUUGGUUUAGAUUACAUCUCAUAUGGACACAAUCUUACAGACAAACAAUAAGGCUGCAGCCAGCUAUACUGUUUAAACAGAGCCAAAAUGCUUGUCAACUGCAUGUGGCCUUAAAUGGAUGUGUAAGAUUUUGCUUCAACGGACUGCCAUUACUUACUUCAGGGGAUGGAGAGGAGGAAGGAAGAGUAAGAAGAGAAAGGAGGAGGCAUUGCUCCUUCCUUCCACGCGGAAACUUUUUCCACUUGUAAAUCUGGUAUUAGCAUCAAUUGUUACUGCCGUUUAUUCUGUGAGGCAAAAUUACAUAUCGCUUCAAAACAAUUAAUUUCAGUUUAGCAUAAAAUUUAAAAAUCUUCAUAUGUC